CCGUACCUAGUUCCGUCCGAUGAGUGUAAUCCCCAAUCCGCACCCAAAAGGAGCCCGCGAAUUUUUUAUUUUUAUUUUUUUCAUUCUCGCGGGCUGUAAGCUUUCUCUAUUCCUCUCCCUCCCUCCCUCUCUCCCUCUCUCUCUCCAUCUCAUGCUAAUAGUAGUCUGGACAGGAGGAGGUGCUUUCUCCAUGCGGUGAAGAAAGAAUCGAAUGCUAACAACAAUCUGCAGAAGCUUAACUAGCAACUCCAAUCCCUCUCUCAGAAUCCUUAAUUAUUCCUUAUUCAUAAAUUGUGGAGGCAGUACAAUGAUUGUUGGGAAGAAAGAAUAUGAAGGUGACUCAUCAGAAAUGAGAUCGUUAGACAGUCUCUUCUACUGACAGAUGGGCUUAUAGUAGCACAGGGGAAAAGCUCUACUAUGUUGUUAUCUGGUCUUCAGGGUCUUGGUACCUUUAAUGAUCAAGCAACCUGAAUGAAGAUCUUCCAAUGAUUAUCAAUCUUUAUAUGUAUCUCAACCACUAGAAUAUAAUUUCUUGGGACCCUGCGAUGGCUACUUGAGAAUAGGACUUCAGAAUUUAUGCAUCAACAUGCACCACUAUGGCUU